GGUUAAGUUAGAAAGGGCGCACGGUGGAUGCCUUGACACUAGGAGUCGAUGAAGGACGGGACUAACGCCGAUAUGCUUCGGGGAGCUGUAAGUAAGCUUUGAUCCGAAGAUUUCCGAAUGGGGAAACCCACCAUACGUAAUGGUAUGGUAUCCUUAUCUGAAUACAUAGGGUAAGGAAGACAGACCCAGGGAACUGAAACAUCUAAGUACCUGGAGGAAGAGAAAGCAAAUGCGAUUUCCUGAGUAGCGGCGAGCGAAACGGAACAUAGCCCAAACCAAGAGGCUUGCCUCUUGGGGUUGUAGGACAUUCUAUACGGAGUUACAAAGGAACGAGGUAGACGAAGCGACCUGGAAAGGUCCGUCGUAGAGGGUAACAACCCCGUAGUCGAAACUUCGUUCUCUCUUGAAUGUAUCCUGAGUACGGCGGAACACGUGAAAUUCCGUCGGAAUCUGGGAGGACCAUCUCCCAAGGCUAAAUACUCCCUAGUGAUCGAUAGUGAACCAGUACCGUGAGGGAAAGGUGAAAAGCACCCCGGAAGGGGAGUGAAAGAGAUCCUGAAACCGUGUGCCUACAAAUAGUCAGAGCCCGUUAACGGGUGAUGGCGUGCCUUUUGUAGAAUGAACCGGCGAGUUACGAUCCCGUGCGAGGUUAAGCUGAAGAGGCGGAGCCGCAGCGAAAGCGAGUCUGAAUAGGGCGUUUAGUACGUGGUCGUAGACCCGAAACCAGGUGAUCUACCCAUGUCCAGGGUGAAGUUCAGGUAACACUGAAUGGAGGCCCGAACCCACGCACGUUGAAAAGUGCGGGGAUGAGGUGUGGGUAGCGGAGAAAUUCCAAUCGAACCUGGAGAUAGCUGGUUCUCCCCGAAAUAGCUUUAGGGCUAGCCUUAAGUGUAAGAGUCUUGGAGGUAGAGCACUGAUUGGACUAGGGGUCCUCAUCGGAUUACCGAAUUCAGUCAAACUCCGAAUGCCAAUGACUUAUCCUUAGGAGUCAGACUGCGAGUGAUAAGAUCCGUAGUCAAAAGGGAAACAGCCCAGACCGCCAGCUAAGGUCCCAAAGUGUGUAUUAAGUGGAAAAGGAUGUGGAGUUGCUUAGACAACUAGGAUGUUGGCUUAGAAGCAGCCACCAUUUAAAGAGUGCGUAAUAGCUCACUAGUCGAGUGACUCUGCGCCGAAAAUGUACCGGGGCUAAAUACACCACCGAAGCUGCGGAUUGAUACCGAAUGGUAUCAGUGGUAGGGGAGCGUUCUAAGGACAGUGAAGUCAGACCGGAAGGACUGGUGGAGUGCUUAGAAGUGAGAAUGCCGGUAUGAGUAGCGAAAGACGGGUGAGAAUCCCGUCCACCGAAUGCCUAAGGUUUCCUGAGGAAGGCUCGUCCGCUCAGGGUUAGUCAGGACCUAAGCCGAGGCCGACAGGCGUAGGCGAUGGACAACAGGUUGAUAUUCCUGUACCACCUCUUUAUCGUUUGAGCAAUGGAGGGACGCAGAAGGAUAGAAGAAGCGUGCGAUUGGUUGUGCACGUCCAAGCAGUUAGGCUGAUAAGUAGGCAAAUCCGCUUAUCGUAAAGGCUGAGCUGUGAUGGGGAAGCUCCUUAUGGAGCGAAGUCUUUGAUUCCCCGCUGCCAAGAAAAGCUUCUAGCGAGAUAAAAGGUGCCUGUACCGCAAACCGACACAGGUAGGCGAGGAGAGAAUCCUAAGGUGUGCGAGAGAACUCUGGUUAAGGAACUCGGCAAAAUGACCCCGUAACUUCGGGAGAAGGGGUGCUUUCUUAACGGAAAGCCGCAGUGAAUAGGCCCAAGCGACUGUUUAGCAAAAACACAGCUCUCUGCGAAGCCGUAAGGCGAAGUAUAGGGGGUGACACCUGCCCGGUGCUGGAAGGUUAAGGAGAGGGGUUAGCGUAAGCGAAGCUCUGAACUGAAGCCCCAGUAAACGGCGGCCGUAACUAUAACGGUCCUAAGGUAGCGAAAUUCCUUGUCGGGUAAGUUCCGACCCGCACGAAAGGUGUAACGAUUUGGGCACUGUCUCAACCAGAGACUCGGUGAAAUUAUAGUACCUGUGAAGAUGCAGGUUACCCGCGACAGGACGGAAAGACCCCGUGGAGCUUUACUGUAGCCUGAUAUUGAAUUUUGGUACAGUUUGUACAGGAUAGGCGGGAGCCUUUGAAACCGGAGCGCUAGCUUCGGUGGAGGCGCUGGUGGGAUACCGCCCUGACUGUAUUGAAAUUCUAACCUACGGGUCUUAUCGACCCGGGAGACAGUGUCAGGUGGGCAGUUUGACUGGGGCGGUCGCCUCCUAAAGUGUAACGGAGGCGCCCAAAGGUUCCCUCAGAAUGGUUGGAAAUCAUUCGUAGAGUGCAAAGGCAUAAGGGAGCUUGACUGCGAGACCUACAAGUCGAGCAGGGACGAAAGUCGGGCUUAGUGAUCCGGUGGUUCCGCAUGGAAGGGCCAUCGCUCAACGGAUAAAAGCUACCCCGGGGAUAACAGGCUUAUCUCCCCCAAGAGUCCACAUCGACGGGGAGGUUUGGCACCUCGAUGUCGGCUCAUCGCAUCCUGGGGCUGUAGUCGGUCCCAAGGGUUGGGCUGUUCGCCCAUUAAAGCGGUACGCGAGCUGGGUUCAGAACGUCGUGAGACAGUUCGGUCCCUAUCCGUCGUGGGCGUAGGAAAUUUGAGAGGAGCUGUCCUUAGUACGAGAGGACCGGGAUGGACGCACCGCUGGUGUACCAGUUGUUCUGCCAAGGGCAUAGCUGGGUAGCUAUGUGCGGAAGGGAUAAGUGCUGAAAGCAUCUAAG
rnacentral:rRNA from 1 species